CGGCACGCCUAACACAUGCAAGUCGAACGCAGUAGCAAUACUGAGUGGCAGACGGGUGAGUAACAUGUGGGAAUCUGCCUUGUGGUUCAGGACAACAUUGGGAAACCGAUGCUAAUACUGGAUAAGCCCUUACGGGGAAAGUUUUAAUGCCAUAAGAUGAGCCCGCAUUUGAUUAGUUAGUUGGUGAGGUAAUGGCUCACCAAGACAAUGAUCAAUAGCUGAUCUGAGAGGAUGAUCAGCCACACUGGGACUGAGACACGGCCCAGACUCCUACGGGAGGCAGCAGUGGGGAAUCUUGCACAAUGGAGGAAACUCUGAUGCAGCGAUGCCGCGUGAGUGAAGAAGGCCUUUGGGUUGUAAAGCUCUUUUGUAGGGGAAGAUAAUGACUGUACCCUAAGAAUAAGGUCCGGCUAACUUCGUGCCAGCAGCCGCGGUAAUACGAAGGGACCUAGCGUAGUUCGGAAUUACUGGGCGUAAAGCGCGCGUAGGCCGUUGAGUUAGUUAAUUGUGAAAUCCCAAAGCUUAACUUUGGAACUGCAAUUAAAACUGCUCGACUAGAGUUUGAUAGAGGAAAGCGGAAUACAUAGUGUAGAGGUGAAAUUCGUAGAUAUUAUGUAGAACACCAGUUGCGAAGGCGGCUUUCUGGAUCAACACUGACGCUGAGGCGCGAAAGUAUGGGUAGCAAAGAGGAUUAGAUACCCCUCGUAGUCCAUACCAUAAACGAUGAUUGCUAGAUGUUGGAAAUUUAUUUUCAGUAUCGCAGCU
rnacentral:rRNA from 1 species